rnacentral:rRNA from 1 species
GACAGAGGGUGCAAACGUUGUUCGGAAUUACUGGGCGUAAAGCGCGUGUAGGCGGCUAAGUAAGUCGGGCGUGAAAUCCCACGGCUCAACCGUGGAAGUGCACUCGAAACUGCAUAGCUAGAGUCCUGGAGAGGAAGGUGGAAUGCUUGGUGUAGAGGUGAAAUUCGUAGAUAUCAAGCGGAACACCGGUGGCGAAGGCGGCCUUCUGGACAGUGACUGACGCUGAGACGGCGAAAGCGUGGGAAG